rnacentral:rRNA from 1 species
GAUGAACGCUAGCGGCAGGCUUAAUACAUGCAAGUCGAACGGUAAGGUCUCUUCGGAGAUACACGAGUGGCGCACGGGUGCGUAACGCGUAUGCAACCUACCUUUAACUGGGAAAUAGCCCCGAGAAAUCGGGAUUAAUGUCCCAUACUAUUCUUUGAAUGCAUAUUCUGAGAAUGAAAGCUCCGGCGGUUAUUGAUGGGCAUGCGUGACAUUAGCUAGUUGGUGAGGUAACGGCUCACCAAGGCGACGAUGUCUAGGGGUCCUGAGAGGGUUAACCCCCACACUGGUACUGAGACACGGACCAGACUCCUACGGGAGGCAGCAGUAAGGAAUAUUGGGCAAUGGACGCAAGUCUGACCCAGCCAUGCCGCGUGAAGGAUGAAUGUCCUAUGGAUUGUAAACUUCUUUUAUGCAGGAAAAAUAUCCCGGUCGAGAACCGGGACUGAUGGUACUGUAUGAAUAAGCAUCGGCUAACUCCGCGCCAGCCGCCGCGGUAAUAC